CCUGGGCUUCAGUAUUCCUGGAUCAACUCAGGAGACGGACUCAUCCCUGAGCCAGUCAUUGUGACAUAGGGAAAGAAUAUGCUGACUGUCCAUGCUGGGGUUGCAUGCCGACCCCCGGACACAGCGGGUGGAGAGGAGUCAGCCUGCCCAGAGCACUUGCGGUAAGAAUCAGGGAGAGAAGAAUUCCCCAAAGGAAAAUGGAGAAGCAGCUUUCAGAAGAAGUAGCUGGGAAUUCAUGUCAAACUCCUACACGUGGUGAGACAGGGGCUCAGCAAGGGUGUCCCAAUCAACCCCCUGAGAACGAGGGAGGCAGCAAUUGUUCACUGCUUUAAAAUACUUGUGGCAAAUAAAGGGAAUAUGACUCAA